rnacentral:rRNA from 1 species
UACGUAGGGUGCGAGCGUUGUCCGGAAUUAUUGGGCGUAAAGAGCUUGUAGGCGGUUUGUCGCGUCUGCCGUGAAAAUCCGAGGCUCAACCUCGGACUUGCGGUGGGUACGGGCAGACUAGAGUGUGGUAGGGGAGACUGGAAUUCCUGGUGUAGCGGUGAAAUGCGUAGAUAUCUGGAGGAACACCGGUGGCGAAGGCGGCAUCCUGGACCGGUAUUGACGCUGAGGCGCGAAAGCUAGGGGGAGCAAACGGGG